rnacentral:rRNA from 1 species
UAAGGAAUAUUGGACAAUGGAGGCAACUCUGAUCCAGCCAUGCCGCGUGAAGGAAUAAGGCCCUAUGGGUUGUAAACUUCUUUUAGACGGGACAAAACCCCUUUACGUGUAAAGGGUUGAUGGUACUGUCAGAAUAAGCAUCGGCUAACUUCGUGCCAGCAGCCGCGGUAAUACGAAGGAUGCAAGCGUUAUCCGGAAUUAUUGGGUUUAAAGGGUGCGUAGGCGGACUAAUAAGUCAGUGGUGAAAGCCUGCAGCCUAACUGCAGAAUUGCCAUUGAUACUGUUAGUCUUGAGUACAGUUGAGGUAGGCGGAAUGUGUCAUGUAGCGGUGAAAUGCUUAGAUAUGACACAGAACACCGAUUGCGAAGGCAGCUUGCUAAGCUGUAACUGACGCUGAGGCACGAAAGCGUGGGGAGCAAACA